GACGAACGCUGGCGGCGUGCUUAACACAUGCAAGUCGAACGGAAAGGCCCUGCUUUUGUGGGGUGCUCGAGUGGCGAACGGGUGAGUAACACGUGAGUAACCUGCCCUUGACUUUGGGAUAACUUCAGGAAACUGGGGCUAAUACCGGAUAGGAGCUCCUGCUGCAUGGUGGGGGUUGGAAAGUUUCGGCGGUUGGGGAUGGACUCGCGGCUUAUCAGCUUGAUGGUGGGGUAGUGGCUUACCAAGGCUUUGACGGGUAGCCGGCCUGAGAGGGUGACCGGCCACAUUGGGACUGAGAUACGGCCCAGACUGCUACGGGAGGCAGCAGUGGGGAAUAUUGCACAAUGGGCGGAAGCCUGAUGCAGCAACGCCGCGUGCGGGAUGACGGCCUUCGGGUGGUAAACCGCUUUCGCCUGUGACGAAGCGUGAGUGACGGUAAUGGGUAAAGAAGCACCGGCUAACUACGUG
rnacentral:rRNA from 1 species